CAACUACUCCCUCUGUCCCAAAUUUCUUGUCUUAGAUUUGUCUAGAUAUGGAUGUAUCUAAUACUAAAAUGUGACUUGAUACAUCUGUAUCUAGACAAAUCUAAGACAAGAAUUUUGGGAUGGAGGGAGUACUUU
rfam:Triticum aestivum genome assembly, contig: Triticum_aestivum_CS42_TGACv1_scaffold_576826_7BL